AACGAACGCUGGCGGCAGGCUUAACACAUGCAAGUCGAACGAGACCUUCGGGUCUAGUGGCAGACGGGUGAGGAACACGUGGGAACAUCCCUUUCAGUUCGGAAUAACGUUGGGAAACUAACGCUAAUACCGGAUACGUCCUUCGGGAGAAAGAUUUAUCGCUGAAAGAUUGGCCCGCGUCUGAUUAGCUAGUUGGUGAGGUAAUGGCUCACCAAGGCUACGAUCAGUAGCUGAUCUGAGAGGAUGAUCAGCCACAUUGGGACUGAGACACGGCCCAAACUCCUACGGGAGGCAGCAGUGGGGAAUAUUGGACAAUGGGCGCAAGCCUGAUCCAGCCAUGCCGCGUGAGUGAUGAAGGCCUUCGGGUUGUAAAGCUCUUUUGUCCGGGAAGAUAAUGACUGUACCGGAAGAAUAAGCCCCGGCAAACUUCGUGCCAGCCGCCGCCGUAA
rnacentral:rRNA from 1 species